GUUUCCUCUCAUCUCUUCACCUUCAUCACGACUGAAUCCUCCAUAACCCUAAUAUCCCUAUAAAGACUGCAAAUGAAUCGUCCCACCUUCAAUUUGUCCUCUCAAAUCCCCCUUACGUUCUCACUCCACCCUCUGCCGGCGACAGUGAUUCCAGGGGCUGUGGUAUUGGUGGUCGUCAAAGGCCAACGGCUAGGGUUUGCCAUGAAACCGGAGGGACCCCAGUAAUCCAUAUAGGGCUCUUUUGGAUGGGAAUAUGAAGAAUUUGAUCAAUUGAUGUUAAAGGCUCUGGUUGAAAAUGACGUCUCAUAGUGGUGUUCAACAAACAAACUACCAGAGAUAUGUGAUAAAAACCAUUAAGGUUUUUAUAUAUGUGAUCUGAGCGGUCAUGUUGGGUCGAUUCUGGUAAGGGGUUAUGAAUUCCGAAACUGGAAGAACUGGUGUGGAAAAUAUGGUUGGGAGCCGUUCCUAGGGACUUCUAAAACCCUGUGCCAGUUUUCCUUUCGCAGCAUUUGAUCAGGAACAACGAAUUGGAGAACUAAUAACAUCAUCUUUUUACAUUCCCAAUCGCGUAUGCAUACCAGGUCAAAUGAAUGGAAUAUGGGUGUUUUGUUUGAAGGGAUCUCAACAGGCUAUCAUUGGAAGGGGUAUUGGUACCUGAGAUAUGGAACCUCACACAUCUGAGAUGCUUGUGAAUGUCACUGGACCUAAGUAAGUUUCAAUCUGGUAUUGCUUUAACUCAUGGGUAUCAACAAGUGUAAUUUAGCUAACUAAGGUGGACCGAAGAAUUGAACCAUGUACUGAACGUACCCACCCGUUAUUAUUCGUUAUAGAGUUAAAAAAUAGUUCUUAGUUAUUCGUUAGUGGUUUGAUUUUUUUCUUUAUUUCAUUGAUGGAUUGUAUUAACAUACUUGUACUCUUCUCUUUUUAUGUAGUUUCUUACUGUUAACCUUAAGUUGAUAAUUU
rnacentral:lncRNA from 1 species